UACAGAGGUCCCAAGCGUUGUUCGGAUUCAUUGGGCGUAAAGGGUGCGUAGGCGGCGCGGUAAGUCGGGUGUGAAAUCUCGGAAGCUUUAACUCCGAAACUAGCAUUCGAUACUGCCGUGCUUGAGGACGUGGAGAGGAGACUGGAAUUUACGGUGUAAGCGGUGAAAUGCGUAGAUAUCGUAAGGAAGACCAGUGGCGAAGGCGGCUCACUGGUCCGGUACUGACGCUGAGGUGACGAAGCGUGGGGAGCAAACAGG
rnacentral:rRNA from 1 species